GUGAGGAAUAUUGGACAAUGGGCGCAAGCCUGAUCCAGCCAUGCCGCGUGCAGGAAGACGCAUCUAUGGUGUGUAAACUGCUAUUGUACGGGAAGAAACACUCCCUCGUGAGGGAGCUUGACGGUACCGUAAGAAUAAGGAUCGGCUAACUCCGUGCCAGCAGCCGCGGUAAUACGGAGGAUCCAAGCGUUAUCCGGAAUCAUUGGGUUUAAAGGGUCCGUAGGCGGUUUAAUAAGUCAGUGGUGAAAGCCCAUCGCUCAACGAUGGAACGGCCAUUGAUACUGUUAGACUUGAAUUACAAGGAAGUAACUAGAAUAUGUAGUGUAGCGGUGAAAUGCUUAGAUAUUACAUGGAAUACCAAUUGCGAAGGCAGGUUACUACUUGUGGAUUGACGCUGAUGGACGAAAGCGUGGGGAGCGAACAGGAUUAGAAACCCCGGUAGUCC
rnacentral:rRNA from 1 species